GAUGAACGCUGGCGGCGUGCUUAACACAUGCAAGUCGAACGAUUAAACUGGCUUCGGCCAGAUAUAGAGUGGCGAACGGGUGAGUAACACGUGACCAACCUGCCCCGCGCUCCGGGACAACCGCUGGAAACGGCGGCUAAUACCGGAUGCUCCGGGGAGGCCCCAUGGCCUCCCCGGGAAAGCCUUAACGGCGCGGGAUGGGGUCGCGGCCCAUUAGGUAGACGGCGGGGUAACGGCCCACCGUGCCCGCGAUGGGUAGCCGGACUGAGAGGUCGACCGGCCACAUUGGGACUGAGAUACGGCCCAGACUCCUACGGGAGGCAGCAGUGGGGAAUUUUGCGCAAUGGGGGCAACCCUGACGCAGCAACGCCGCGUGCGGGACGAAGGCCUUCGGGUUGUAAACCGCUUUCAGCAGGGAAGACUUUGACGGUACCUGCAGAAGAAGCUCC
rnacentral:rRNA from 1 species